GGGGGCGAAAGGUCUCGACAGGGAGCUUUGAAGCGCGGUUUGCGAGCCGAGGCGCCGCUGGCCUCGUAAAAAGCGGCAAAACAAUAAACGCGAACAGCAACUACAGCUACGCGCUCGCUGCCUAAUCUGAUUUAGGCAAGCGUGAAAGCUGCUCUUAUGUAGCAGCCGUCCGCCCGUUCCCUGCCGGCGGGAGCGGUGCCGGGCGUGGACUUGACCGGCUUGCUCCGGAGGGGCGCCUGCCGCCUUCGGGGGACUUUUAUCGGUGGGCUGGCCGCGGAGCAGUCCCGUCUGCGGGAUAAGCUCCGGGCGAGAACAGAAACGCAGACUACGCUCGUAGACGGCCGCGCGGUCGGCUUUCUGGACCCGGGUUCGAUUCCCGGCGCCUCCACCA
rnacentral:tmRNA from 1 species